UAGCAGAGGUCUCAAGCGUUGUUCGGAUUCAUUGGGCGUAAAGGGUGUGUAGGUGGCGCCGUAAGUCGGGUGUGAAAUUUCGGAGCUUAACUCCGAAACUGCAUUCGAUACUGCGGUGCUUGAGGACUGGAGAGGAGACUGGAAUUCAUGGUGUAGCAGUGAAAUGCGUAGAGAUCAUGAGGAAGACCAGUGGCGAAGGCGGGUCUCUGGACAGUUCCUGACACUGAGACACGAAGGCCAGGGGAGCAAACGGG
rnacentral:rRNA from 1 species